CGGCUGGGGUUGUUUUAUACCCAAUACUAAUCUCCCUAUUUUUGAGUUCAGGUUUCGAAUGAAGGAAGUACAAAGAAAUUUUCACAACUGAAGUUGCCCCCCUUGAUUUCUGUACUCGAUUGUUUCUAGAUAUUUUAGUGUUUGGCGCAUCGAUGCUAGAGUCUUUUCAAAUCAAGGCUUUGCUCAUAUUAGGAUGAGGUUCUCCUCCUGCUCUUAACAUGGCUGUGGGGGCGCAUAAGGGCUGUUGUGAGGGCCUCUCCCCCCAUCCGGUCUCUUAAUAAUCGGAUCUUCGACUUUGCUCAUGUUAGGAUGAGGUUCUCCUCCUGUUCCUAACAUGACUGUGGGGGCGCAUAAGGGCCGUUGUGAGGGC
rnacentral:lncRNA from 1 species